AUGUGGCCAGCACCCGUCGCCUCAAGUGCAGCGUCAAGAUGCUGACUCACCCUGCAUCAACGAUAACUACUCAACGGGACCACGUGGCUUCGUGACGUCUACACCGUUCCCGACAGCAGCGACAUCACCUACAAAAGCCGCGUCCCAACUGGAUUUUGCCAGUGGGCAUGGUAGCGCAUCUCGGAGCAUGACGACUAAAUGGCUCUUCCUGAUUACGCAGCAGACAUGUAUUCA